AACGAACGCUGGCGGCAUGCUUAACACAUGCAAGUCGAACGAGACCUUCGGGUCUAGUGGCGCACGGGUGCGUAACGCGUGGGAAUCUACCCUUUGCUACGGAAUAACUCAGAGAAAUUUGUGCUAAUACCGUAUGAUGUCGAAAGACCAAAGAUUUAUCGGCAAAGGAUGAGUCCGCGUACCAUUAGCUGGUUGGUGGGGUAAUGGCCUACCAAGGCUACGAUGGUUAGCUGGUCUGAGAGGAUGAUCAGCCACACUGGAACUGAGGCACGGUCCAGACUCCUACGGGAGGCAGCAGUGAGGAAUAUUGCGCAAUGGGGGCAACCCUGACGCAGCAACGCCGCGUGAGUGAGGAAGGUUUUCGGACCGUAAAGCUCUGUCGAGCGGGAAGAAAUGUAUCAUGGCUAAUAUCCAUGAUACUUGACGGUACCGCUAAAGGAAGCACCGGCUAACUCCGUG
rnacentral:rRNA from 1 species